GAAAUGCGAUAAGUAAUGUGAAUUGCAGAAUUCCGUGAAUCAUCGAAUCUUUGAACGCACAUUGCGCCCUCUGGUAUUCCGGGGGCAUGCCUGUCCGAGCGUCAUUGUGAACCCCUCAAGCACGGCUUGUGUGAUGGGCCCUCCCGCGUCUUGGUCGUCAAGACGGGCCCGAAAUGCAGUGGCGGCUUCGCGGUUAUCCGAUCAGCCAGAGCGUAUGGGGACUCUCUCUCUUGUCACACGCCCGCGGCGCGGACCGACGCCUGUCGACCUUUAUUCAUCUUCUCUCGGUUGACCUCGGAUCAGGUAGGGAUACCCGCUGAACUUAAGC
rnacentral:misc_RNA from 1 species